CAGAUGUAGCUGUAUCCAAUUCAUCCUUCAUCAAAUUAAUAUUUGAUUUUUGGAGGACGCCUAACCGGAAAUCAUCUGAAAGAGAAAAAUCAAAUUCAUUUGGAAAUACUACCAAGGAAAAUUGGCUUUGGAUCAUGCUAGCAUUCAAGUCUUUCAGGAUCUCAGAGUUGGAAUGGCGGCAUUUUUUUUCCCUAUCCCAUGAAUUGGGAAAAUGGAGAAAGAACUAAGAAGUGAUGGUGAGAAGGGAAGUUACAAUAUUUUAAAAACAAAUUGCUUAAAUCUAUUUGAAUAUUGUCACAGUUAUCCAAUUAGCAUAUUGCGCCUAUUAUAGAUCUGGUUCGUUCUGUGAAGAUGGGAGAAGCUGAUGAAAUCCUGUGAGAUCAUUUUAAGGUUGGAGGCUCAGACCAGUAAAUAUUUUUUUUAACUAACCUGGCAGAAACUUGUACAAAUGUGCAGGGAGUCCUAAUACAAGUUGGAUUGUCUUGACACUUCAAUUAAAUUGUAACUUUCAAGGAAAAAUCCCCAGUGGCCAAUUUUAGUUAAAAACAAAAAGAAAAUGUCAGAGAUCUUCACAGAUGAUAGCCAUGCCCACCUACCAACUCAGCCACAGCAUGAUACAGUUUGGGACUGAGCAACCCUAAACAUUUAAUAUCUAUAUUGUUUCCUAGGUUCCUAGUUUAAAACAGAUUUUGUGUAAUUAUUUGAUACAUUGCAUACCAAGGGUGGCUGAGAUUAUAGACAGAAUCCAGAUUCUCCACUUUAUCACAUCAAGCAGCAAGGCUUGAAGAGAACGUCUACCCAGAUAGACUCCAAACUUUAGGCAAUCCAAAAUACUAAAAAAUAUAAUAUAAUAAAAUAAAUCUUAAGGGCAUAUUCAUGGGCCAAUAAAAUCUUUUAAAAGCCUAAGAAACCUAAACAAGCAAAUGUCAGGCAUCUUGGUUUUUUAGCCGUACAUGAGAUACAAUUUCAGUGACUGUUAUUCAACUAAGACAGUGGUUCUCAACCUGUGGGUCGGGACCCCAUUUGGGGUCGAAUGACCAUUUCACGGGGGUUGCCAAACCAUGCUGUCCGCCAUUUUUUUCCCUUUUCCGUAGCUGUCCUACUCCCUCUUAUUGGUGGCCACACCCACUUGGGGGUCACCACAACAUGGGGAACUGUAUUAUGGGGUCACGGCAUUAGAAAGGUUGAGAAUCACUGAACUAAGAAAAUAUUAAUAGUGGACAUUAGCAUGUACUGAAUGAGGAUGAUGCCUGUGCCACUGAGUUGCUGAAUUACGGGCAAUGCUAUGUUGACUUGCAAUGCAAUUUCUGGAUUAGAGAUCCUAAUUUAAGUAGAAUAGAGUAAGCAUGCAUGGGCAAAAUUUGGCUUUUGUUCAUGACUUACUGUCCAAAAUCUACCAAAAUCUGACUGGUGUUCUCUUUAUCAUAGUGCAGAAUUCUGCAAGUAGUAUCGACAUGACCAAGGCUGAUAACAUAAUCUAUACCUUCUCUAUCUUACUAAAAAUUAUUAUGUGAAAGGUUCAAUUUAUCAAAGUUAUUAAGACACUCAAGGUCAAUGCUUAUGAGCUAUUUGAUGACAACCAUGCCAUAUACUGUAGAAGAAUGUAAGUAAAACAUUCUGCCUAUCAAUGUUUUCUGUAACUUCCAGAAAACAAAGAAGAUAUUAAAUGCCAAUGACUAAAGCUUCCAAAACCUAUAAUAAACAGCUUCUGUGUGCUAAUCAUUCAUUACAAAGCAUCAAAGUUCAAUGCCCAUGGAAACAGGUCCUGCUGAAAGAUGAUAUAGGUAGAAGAUAAUGUUUGUAGCUCAGGGCUGAACUGAUGUUGUUACCUAGUUUGGUAAUGAAAUGUCUGAAAGUAAACCACCAAGGUCACAGAGCACCAAGGGCCCCACGGAAAAUGAUGUUAUUAUGAUUAAUCACAUAGUCAACCAGAUGUUUAGGCUGGAUUUGGCAUUUUUGUCCACUUAUCGAGUCCUUCUCAAGGAUCUAGAAUAGGCAGACAUUGUUUAAUAAUAUUAAAAAUAUUCUUGCAGGAUGCAAGCUGUUCCAAAUAAAGUUGCUGUUUGCAAUUGACUGAUGAUGUACAACUGGUGUUCUUUAUGUUUUUGAAUUUAUUAUGAUGAUGAUUGGAUGCACAGUCAACCAGAUGUUUAGAUGGGGUUUGGCAUUUUUAUCCACUUAGUGAAUCUUUCCCAAGGAUUUAGGAUAAGCAGAUAUAGUUGCAGGAUGUAAGCUGUUCCAAGUAAAACUGCCUUUUGCCAUUAACCUAUUAUAAUAAUUAUAAUUAUUAUUACCAAUCAAACUGAACAAUGCUUAUAUUGGAAAACAUAGCUGUUACUCAUUUUCUAAGAUAUUUAUAUUUUGCAAAGGCAGGAAGAAUAGAUAUAUGUUACAUUUAAUGGAAGAUGCUAGCUAGUUCAGAGAUAACCUUCUAAUUAUCAGUAGGCAGAUUGAUAGGUUGUGAUAUGCAAACAUAGACUUUUGCCUGGUCUUAUUGUCUCUUGUGUCCACUGCCUGACUGGAAUGAGCAACAAGUAGGUGGGGCAAGACAAAAUACAACACAACAAAAUAAAAAAUAAAACAGACUUUUGCCUGCAGCUGUGAUGAUCUUUAAUAUUUAUUAUACAACUGAUACCAAAUGCUAACUUUAUCAGCUUUUCAUAUAAUUGGAGAGAGGGGGGGGGAGAGAGAAUUCUAUAUGAUUUUCCCAUCUUAAUGUGCUUGGUAUGGACUACUUGCUGUGAACGUAGAACCAGCAUAUAUAUUUAUUUAACUCCAUUCUUUUCUAUCCUACCUUUAAAGAGUAACAACCCCCCCUCCCCAAAUGCCUAUGGAUGUUCUACAU